rnacentral:rRNA from 1 species
CACGUAGGGCGCGAGCGUUGUCCGGAAUUAUUGGGCGUAAAGAGCUCGUAGGCGGCCUGUUGCGUCCGCUGUGAAAGCCCGGGGCUUAACCCCGGGUCGGCAGUGGAUACGGGCAGGCUAGAGGUAGGUAGGGGAGAAUGGAAUUCCCGGUGUAGCGGUGAAAUGCGCAGAUAUCGGGAGGAACACCGGUGGCGAAGGCGGUUCUCUGGGCCUUACCCUGACGCUGAGGAGCGAAAGCGUGGGGAGCGAACAGG